CACACCAGGACCGUUGGUUUGGAAAGGACACAUGAGGGGACUGACUGUAUUGUUUUCAAAGCUCGUUAAAAGUGACAUUUGGUAUUCCAAAGCCUGUUAAGACAAAUUACGAGCUAAGUCAGUCAGUUAGGCAGUUAGCCUUGUCGGUGAAUUAACUGAUGAAUACCUCUUGGCUGACUAUUUGACUGGACAUGUGCAGAUGGUAACGUUAAAGAGAUUUGUCUGCUGCAAAGGAUGACAUUGAUGCAGCUUGUGAACUUGCCAUCAGAGGACUGGUUAUCUAUCUUAAUGAGGACCCUAAAGAGCUCAUUCAGGAGUAUGUGUUUAUUUUACAGUGUGCGAUUGAGAAGACUACCAUGGGCAUCUUCCUGAUAAAGCACACUGCAGACAAUGAAGCCCAUGAUGUAGGCAUUGUGCUAGAGGGUGUAGCAGUGCUUCAGGACCUCAACAGUGUGGAUUUUGCAACUUCAAUGUUGUUUGGUCUAAUUUAUGCUCUUAACCUGCAGUACCCCACAAAGUUGCGUUUUACAUAUGAAAUUUACCAAAAACUCAUCAUGGACUUGGAUGCAGGUGAACUCUCUAUCAAGGCCCAAUUUCAAAUCUGAACUCAACCAGUGAGAUGGACUGAUUUUUUAAUGACUUCUGUGACUACAAACAAUCAACCUCUGAAAAUUUCAGCAGCCUUCAUGCAAGACCACCGCAGAAGGUAAACUGUGAUCUUGUUGUUUAGACUGUUCCCCUUUGCCUGCUCUUGUUUCUUUAUCUUUUUUUUUGUCUGAAUUUGGCCCUUCUUUGGACUGGGUCAGAAGUUGAUUGAUUAGAGAGCUGAAUCUAUGACACAUGGAUGAACUAGCAUAAAUAAGAUACAUUGUUUAAAGUUUAGGUAAGGGUCAGAUACUGUAUUUUCACAUUAUUUUGUAAUGUCUAUAUAUAAUUAUCUUUGAGACGAAAGCGUUUUUCUUGAAAUAAGUUCCAGGUAGGGCUGCACGAUAUUGGGAAAAAAUAACAUUGCGAUAUUUUAUUUUUCUGCGAUAUAUAUUGCAAUAUGAAAUCUAAUCUAAUUUUUUCUUACAAACAAAAAUUGGGUGAGCACACUUACGUUCUUAUUUUAAAUGAUUAAAACAUCGACACCAUCGUGUCAAUUGAUUAAUAUGUGCGAGGGAGAGAGAGCAAGACAUUGCCCGUGGUGUUUGAAGACGAUGAGCUUGCGGCCGGGGCUCUCUCUCUCUCUCGUGCAUGCU